AUCCAGCUGACGAGUUCCAAAUAGGAGGAAGUGGCACGCGUCCUGAAU
rfam:Schistosoma margrebowiei strain Zambia genome assembly, scaffold: SMRZ_scaffold0000336